GCAGCAGCCGCGGGAAUACGGAGGGUGCAAGCGUUAAUCGGAAUUACUGGGCGUAAAGCGCACGCAGGCGGUCUGUCAAGUCGGAUGUGAAAUCCCUGAGCUUAACUUAGGAAUUGCAUUCGAUACUGGGAAGCUAGAGUAUGGGAGAGGAUGGUAGAAUUCCAGGUGUAGCGGUGAAAUGCGUAGAGAUCUGGAGGAAUACCGAUGGCGAAGGCAGCCAUCUGGCCUAAUACUGACGCUGAGGUACGAAAGCAUGGGGAGCAAACAGGAUUAGAUACCCCUGUGUCCCUGUCUCUUAUACA
rnacentral:rRNA from 1 species